rnacentral:misc_RNA from 1 species
GGCAAGAGGAAGAAGAAAUCCGCCAUAGCCAUGGAGAAUCAAAGCACCUGCUUGUCCUAUGAGAAGCUCAACGGAAUGGCCACCUGGGUCGGAACCAGCGUCGCCUCCGCUUUCUUCGCCUCUCUUGAGCGAUGUUCCUGCAUCAAUCUCUCCACCUCCGACGACCACGAAGAUUCCGAAGAGGCUCAUGAUCGCCCUCUCAUGUACUGUACCUCCACUUCUUCCUCCGUCGUUAUUCGCAGCUUCGAACCGCUUCCUCCUCCGGUCAAUGAUGUCGCCAAUCUCCCCGUCUGACCGCCGCUCUCCCUGGAUCUGAG